AUUGAACGCUGGCGGCAUGCCUUACACAUGCAAGUCGAACGGUAACAGGUCUUCGGAUGCUGACGAGUGGCGAACGGGUGAGUAAUACAUCGGAACGUGCCUAGUAGUGGGGGAUAACUACUCGAAAGAGUGGCUAAUACCGCAUGAGAUCUACGGAUGAAAGCAGGGGAUCGCAAGACCUUGUGCUACUAGAGCGGCCGAUGGCAGAUUAGGUAGGUGGUGGGAUAAAAGCUUACCAAGCCGACGAUCUGUAGCUGGUCUGAGAGUACGAUCAGCCACACUGGGACUGAGAGACGGCCUAGUCUCCUACUGGAGGCAGCAGUGGGUAAUUUUGGACAAUGGGCGCAAGCAUGAUCCAGCAAUGCCGCGUGCAGGAUGAAGGCCUUCGGGUUGUAAACUGCUUUUGUACGGAACGAAAAGCCCCGGGUUAAUACCCUGGGGUCAUGACGGUACCGUAAGAAUAAGCACCGGCUAACUACGUGCCAGCCGCCGCGGUAA
rnacentral:rRNA from 1 species